AUGUACCACGCACCGACGGCCUCUACAGUUCCAACCCGGAGAAACCAUGCAUGCAGUGCUAGCACAACACGCUUGGUUUCCAUGAGCCUGCCUGCCUGCGCGCCGGCGCAGGGACCGACGGCGAACCCGUCUCGCCAGGACCGGCAUGUCGUGUGCACUGCCACGCGCUCUUGGCGUGGCGCCACCAACGGCGUCCCGUCUCCGUCGAUCGCACCACCACCACCACCACCACCGCUACCCGGCGCGGCCGCCGAAACAGUGCGUUUGCCUCGACGCCGCAACGCCCGCGGAGCCUACAGCUGCGUGUACGCCGCUCGUGCGUCAUGUCGCCGGUCGGUGCCACCGCUUAGUCUUCUUCUACAGUGA
rnacentral:rRNA from 1 species